rnacentral:misc_RNA from 1 species
UCUCGAGCAUGACAUAAAGAAGCUAAUGGGGAUCUCAUGAGACACCGAGAUACAAAGGAUUCAUCAGGGUUCGUGAAGAUAUCAAAGCAUACGAAGUUUAAUCUUGUUCUGUGCAUGUUGAUGUGCCUUAAUAGACUUGUGAAAUCUGCUUUACAGAAUAUGAUAAUUAUAUGGAGCAUAAAAUGUUGCUAGGUGCAGUUAUUCUAAACUCCUUGCCUUUUGUUGUGUGGUUGAAAAAUCAAGCAUUUAUACCUUUUGCUGUUUGCCUCUUGAGGUAUGGUUGAAG